rnacentral:rRNA from 1 species
AGUUUGAUCCUGGCUCAGAUUGAACGCUGGCGGCAGGCUUAACACAUGCAAGUCGAGCGGGGAAAGGUAGCUUGCUACCUUACCUAGCGGCGGACGGGUGAGUAAUGCUUAGGAAUCUGCCUAUUAGUGGGGGACAACAUUUCGAAAGGAAUGCUAAUACCGCAUACGCCCUACGGGGGAAAGCAGGGGACCUUCGGGCCUUGCGCUAAUAGAUGAGCCUAAGUCGGAUUAGCUAGUUGGUGGGGUAAAGGCCUACCAAGGCGACGAUCUGUAGCGGGUCUGAGAGGAUGAUCCGCCACACUGGGACUGAGACACGGCCCAGACUCCUACGGGAGGCAGCAGUGGGGAAUAUUGGACAAUGGGGGGAACCCUGAUCCAGCCAUGCCGCGUGUGUGAAGAAGGCCUUUUGGUUGUAAAGCACUUUAAGCGAGGAGGAGGCUACUUAGAUUAAUACUCUAGGAUAGUGGACGUUACUCGCAGAAUAAGCACCGGCUAACUCUGUGCCAGCAGCCGCGGUAAUACAGAGGGUGCAAGCGUUAAUCGGAUUUACUGGGCGUAAAGCGUGCGUAGGUGGCCAAUUAAGUCAAAUGUGAAAUCCCCGAGCUUAACUUGGGAAUUGCAUUCGAUACUGGUUGGCUAGAGUAUGGGAGAGGAUGGUAGAAUUCCAGUGUAGCGGUGAAAUGCGUAGAGAUCUGGAGGAAUACCGAUGGCGAAAGCAGCCAUCUGGGCCUAAUACUGACACUGAGUACGAAAGCAUGGGGAGCAAACAGGAUUAGAUACCCUGGUAGUCCAUGCCGUAACGAUGUCUACUAGCCGUUGGGGUCUUUGAGA